CGCUGACAGGAAGGGGCCACGCUUCCCCUCCAGCCACCCGGCGUUCUCUGCAGCCCUCGGAGCCCCCUACAGGGUGAGGCCAGCUGCUAACGGAGACAGAAGUCGUGCAAAGCCACCAUGACCCGGUCGUCAUUUUGACAAUGAUGGCAGGGACGGAUGGGGUCCUGCCAACACGACGCAUGUGCCUGUGCGGCGUCAACCCUGCUCGCAGUCUGAAGGUGGGGGACGGAAACCUUGGCAGAUUCUCUGCCAAGAACCACAGAGCAAAAUGAAAUGACAGUAUGGGUAGACAGCUGCUAAGUAAUCUCUUUGUUGUAUUUCUAAUAAGAUAGCUACAUCAUUUCUGUUGCUAACGUAUAGCCAUAUUAGUUCUGAAAUAAGCUAUUACGGUUUUUUCCCCUCAGUGGACCCCAGUCGCAAUAAGUAAUACAUCAUUUAUAAUUGGAAA